rnacentral:rRNA from 1 species
UUGGAGGGCAAGUCUGGUGCCAGCAGCCGCGGUAAUUCCAGCUCCAAUAGCGUAUAUUAAAGUUGUUGCAGUUAAAAAGCUCGUAGUUGAAUUUCGGGAUCAGUACGUUGGUCGUGCCUUAGGUACGUACUGGUGUUACUGGUUUCUACCUUCUGACGAACCAUCAUGUCAUUAAUUUGGUGUGGCGGGGAAUCAGGACUGUUACUUUGAAAAAAUUAGAGUGUUUAAAGCAGGCUCGCGCUUGAAUACAUUAGCAUGGAAUAAUGAAAUAGGACGUUGAUCCUAUUUUGUUGGUUUCUAGGAUUGACGUAAUGAUUAAUAGGGAUAGUUGGGGGCAUUAGUAUUCAAUUGUCAGAGGUGAAAUUCUUGGAUUUAUUGAAGACUAACUACUGCGAAAGCAUUUGCCAAGGAUGUUUUCAUUAAUCAAGAACGAAAGUUAGGGGAUCGAAGACGAUCAGAUACCGUCGUAGUCUUAACCAUAAACUAUGCCGACUAGGGAUCGAAUGAUGUUAUUUUUAAUGACUCAUUCGGCGCCUUACGGGAAAC